rnacentral:rRNA from 1 species
AUGCCAUACGUGUGGCACGAGGACCCCUAUGCACCAAGGCGAAUACUCAGCGCCGGCGCGCCGGCCGAAAGUUUCGGCCGGUCGCAUGCCAGCCGCUGGAUUACUUCAUUUGUGACGGUUAGAUUAGAACCCCCAAUCUUUUCCAUCCCUGGCUUCGUCUCAGAUCUGAUCGAGAGAUGGAAAACAACUUUGACCUGCUGUAGAGAAACUGCCCCCCGCAGGGCCGUGCCUCGUCUGCAGCGACACACCGUCUCCCCAUGGCCGUCGAAGCAUCCCCGGCGCCUUCUCGACCGUCGCCGUCAUCGACCACACUCACCGUCUCGCCAUCCGUUCGUGAUCUACACAUCAAAUCACGCCGUUCGUGGCCCUUGCCGUAGUCGGUUGCAGUAUACUUUACACUCGCUGUCGCAGCCCUCCUGUAUGUCUCCGGUGCAGCUCGCCAGCGGCACGGUCAAUGCGUCCCUCCAUUGCAAGCUCCACCUCUCCCCUGGAUGCAGCUUCCAUGUAGCAAAAAAACAUGUCGAUGGAAGCUUUUCCGGUUGCCGGUUGAAACAAAAUAAAGGCUCCGGCGUUGCCACCGCAUAA